rnacentral:rRNA from 1 species
UCCGGAGAGGGAGCCUGAGAAACGGCUACCACAUCUAAGGAAGGCAGCAGGCGCGUAAAUUACCCACUCCCAGUUCGGGGAGGUAGUGACGAAAAAUAACAAUACAGGACUCAUAUCCGAGGCCCUGUAAUUGGAAUGAGUACACUUUAAAUCCUUUAACAAGGACCAAUUGGAGGGCAAGUCUGGUGCCAGCAGCCGCGGUAAUUCCAGCUCCAAUAGCGUAUAUUAAAGUUGUUGCGGUUAAAACGUUCGUAGUUGAAUUUGUGCUUCAUACGGGUAGUACAACUACAAUUGUGGAUUGUACAUUACCUUAUGUAUGCAAGCGUAUUAUCGGUGGAGUUCUUAUACAUUUAUGAUACUUAUGUAUCAUUAUGUAUUCCUCCUAUUAAAACCUGCUUCAGUGCUCUUCAUCGAGUGCUGUUGUGGGCCGUUACAAUUACUUUGAACAAAUUAGAGUGCUUAAAGCAGGCUCCAAAUGCCUGAAUAUUUUGUGCAUGGAAUAAUGAAAUAAGACUUCUGAUCUACUUUCAUUGGUUUUUAGAUCAAGAGGUAAUGAUUAAUAGAAGCAGAUUGGGGGCAUUAGUAUUACGACGCGAGAGGUGAAAUUCUUGGACCGUCGUAAGACUAACUUAAGCGAAAGCAUUUGCCAAAGAUGUUUUCAUUAAUCAAGAACGAAAGUUAGAGGUUCGA